UACGUAGGGAGCAAGCGUUGUCCGGAAUCAUUGGGCGUAAAGCGCGCGUAGGCGGCCUUGUAAGUCCGUUGUGAAAGUCAAAGGCUCAACCUUUGAAAGCCGAUGGAUACUGUGAGGCUAGAGUCCGGAAGAGGCGAGUGGAAUUCCUGGUGUAGCGGUGGAAUGCGCAGAUAUCAGGAGGAACACCAAUAGCGAAGGCAGCUCGCUGGGACGGUACUGACGCUCAGGCGCGAAAGCGUGGGGAGCGAACAGG
rnacentral:rRNA from 1 species